AGUGAACGCUGGCGGUAGGCCUAACACAUGCAAGUCGAACGGCAGCACAGUAAGAGCUUGCUCUUACGGGUAGCGAGUGGCGGACGGGUGAGGAAUACAUCGGAAUCUACUUUUUCGUGGGGGAUAACGUAGGGAAACUUACGCUAAUACCGCAUACGACCUACGGGUGAAAGCAGGGGAUCUUCGGACCUUGCGCGAUUGAAUGAGCCGAUGUCGGAUUAGCUAGUUGGCGGGGUAAAGGCCCACCAAGGCGACGAUCCGUAGCUGGUCUGAGAGGAUGAUCAGCCACACUGGAACUGAGACACGGUCCAGACUCCUACGGGAGGCAGCAGUGGGGAAUAUUGGACAAUGGGCGCAAGCCUGAUCCAGCCAUACCGCGUGGGUGAAGGAGGCCUUCGGGUUGUAAAGCCCUUUUGUUGGGAAAGAAAAGCAGCAGGUUAAUACCCCGCUGUUCUGACGGUACCCAAAGAAUAAGCACCGGCUAACUUCGUG
rnacentral:rRNA from 1 species